ACAGGUCACCAAGUAGGGAAUGUAAGCCACUGCCAAAAGCGACUAAUUGCUCUGAAAAUCAUGUACUUCGGCCAGAGAUUCUAUGGCUUUGCUUCAGAAGCCCAUACAGAGCCGACGGUUGAGUCUGAGAUAUUCAAAGCACUUGAAAGAGCAAGAUUACUGGUUGGAAGUAGGAAAGAUUUAUGCUAUUCUAGGUGUGGAAGAACUGACAAAGGAGUUUCUGCUACUGGACAGGUAAUCUCCUUAUAUUUGCGAUCAAAUUUAAAAGAAGCAGGAGGGAAUGUGGGUGAAAGAUCUGAAAUCGAUUAUGUAAGUGUAUUGAAUAGAAAUCUUCCACGAGAUAUACGUGUAAUAGGUUGGUGUCCAGUUGCAGCAGACUUUCUCGCAAGAUUCUCCUGCUUGGGUAGGGAAUAUAAGUACUUGUUUUGGAAGGGGGGCUUGGAUGUGUCGAAAAUGCAGAAAGCUGCACUUAAAUUCAUUGGGGAACAUGACUUAAGGAAUUUCUGUAAGAUGGAUGCAGCAAACGUGAGCAACUACAAGUGA
rnacentral:rRNA from 1 species